rnacentral:rRNA from 1 species
UACGGAGGGUGCAAGCGUCAUCCGGAUUCACUGGGUUUAAAGGGUGCGUAGGCGGCCAGGCAGGUCAGCUGUGAAAACUCGAGGCUCAACCUCGAGACGUCGGUUGAAACCGCUUGGCUAGAGUCCGGAAGAGGAGAGUGGAAUUCCCGGUGUAGCGGUGAAAUGCGCAGAUAUCGGGAAGAACACCCGUGGCGAAGGCGGCUCUCUGGGACGGUACUGACGCUGAGACGCGAAAGCGUGGGGAGCGAACAGG